rnacentral:rRNA from 1 species
AAAUUGAAGAGUUUGAUCAUGGCUCAGAUUGAACGCUGGCGGCAGGCCUAACACAUGCAAGUCGAACGGUAACAGGAAGCAGCUUGCUGUUUCGCUGACGAGUGGCGGACGGGUGAGUAAUGUCUGGGAAACUGCCUGAUGGAGGGGGAUAACUACUGGAAACGGUAGCUAAUACCGCAUAACGUCGCAAGACCAAAGAGGGGGACCUUCGGGCCUCUUGCCAUCGGAUGUGCCCAGAUGGGAUUAGCUAGUAGGUGGGGUAACGGCUCACCUAGGCGACGAUCCCUAGCUGGUCUGAGAGGAUGACCAGCCACACUGGAACUGAGACACGGUCCAGACUCCUACGGGAGGCAGCAGUGGGGAAUAUUGCACAAUGGGCGCAAGCCUGAUGCAGCCAUGCCGCGUGUAUGAAGAAGGCCUUCGGGUUGUAAAGUACUUUCAGCGGGGAGGAAGGGAGUAAAGUUAAUACCUUUGCUCAUUGACGUUACCCGCAGAAGAAGCACCGGCUAACUCCGUGCCAGCAGCCGCGGUAAUACGGAGGGUGCAAGCGUUAAUCGGAAUUACUGGGCGUAAAGCGCACGCAGGCGGUUUGUUAAGUCAGAUGUGAAAUCCCCGGGCUCAACCUGGGAACUGCAUCUGAUACUGGCAAGCUUGAGUCUCGUAGAGGGGGGUAGAAUUCCAGGUGUAGCGGUGAAAUGCGUAGAGAUCUGGAGGAAUACCGGUGGCGAAGGCGGCCCCCUGGACGAAGACUGACGCUCAGGUGCGAAAGCGUGGGGAGCAAACAGGAUUAGAUACCCUGGUAGUCCACGCCGUAAACGAUGUCGACUUGGAGGUUGUGCCCUUGAGGCGUGGCUUCCGGAGCUAACGCGUUAAGUCGACCGCCUGGGGAGUACGGCCGCAAGGUUAAAACUCAAAUGAAUUGACGGGGGCCCGCACAAGCGGUGGAGCAUGUGGUUUAAUUCGAUGCAACGCGAAGAACCUUACCUGGUCUUGACAUCCACGGAAGUUUUCAGAGAUGAGAAUGUGCCUUCGGGAACCGUGAGACAGGUGCUGCAUGGCUGUCGUCAGCUCGUGUUGUGAAAUGUUGGGUUAAGUCCCGCAACGAGCGCAACCCUUAUCCUUUGUUGCCAGCGGUCCGGCCGGGAACUCAAAGGAGACUGCCAGUGAUAAACUGGAGGAAGGUGAGGAUGACGUCAAGUCAUCAUGGCCCUUACGACCAGGGCUACACACGUGCUACAAUGGCGCAUACAAAGAGAAGCGACCUCGCGAGAGCAAGCGGACCUCAUAAAGUGCGUCGUAGUCCGGAUUGGAGUCUGCAACUCGACUCCAUGAAGUCGGAAUCGCUAGUAAUCGUGGAUCAGAAUGCCACGGUGAAUACGUUCCCGGGCCUUGUACACACCGCCCGUCACACCAUGGGAGUGGGUUGCAAAAGAAGUAGGUAGCUUAACCUUCGGGAGGGCGCUUACCACUUUGUGAUUCAUGACUGGGGUGAAGUCGUAACAAGGUAACCGUAGGGGAACCUGCGGUUGGAUCACCUCCUUACCUUAAAGAAGC